rnacentral:rRNA from 1 species
UACGUAGGGUGCGAGCGUUGUCCGGAAUUAUUGGGCGUAAAGAGCUUGUAGGCGGUCUGUCGCGUCUGCUGUGAAAACCUGGGGCUUAACCCCGGGCCUGCAGUGGGUACGGGCAGACUAGAGUGCGGUAGGGGAGACUGGAAUUCCAGGUGUAGCGGUGAAAUGCGUAGAUAUCUGGAGGAAUACCGGUGGCGAAGGCGGCAUCCUGGACCGAGAUUGACACUGAUGAGCGAAAGCCAGGGGAGCAAACGGG